UGACCGCAGAAAGAAGCUUAAAGAAGCCUCAAUCACGAGGAGAUCGAUCAUAGCGUUGGCUUAUACUCCGUACUCAGGGGCGAUUGAAGGGUCAGAAUGGAGGACUUGUUCCCCUUCUCUACGACUGUGAAGGAGGGAUUUGUUCUCUCGAACCCCACCACCCCCUUUUUUAUCUCCUCUCGUUUGAGUUUGUAAUUUUCAGGUUUGGCUUGAUUUAUCAGGAUCGGCUUCUAACAGAGCCGCGCCAUGAAUGGUGAAUCCUUAACCGGCCAGCAGGGGUCCAAGAGAGCGGCUCCACCGGGAUGUGCAAGAAACCAUGCGA
rnacentral:sRNA from 2 species